rnacentral:lncRNA from 10 species
GUAAGUAUUUAUUUUUUUCCUUCAAGGGGGUUUUUGCUUUGCUAAGCCUCGGGCAUUUGGUUCGUGCAAGAAAUCACAGAAACUGCUCCAGCGGACUCCGAAAGGAGCGGAAAAUUCUUUUGUUUGGGGGCCAUGAGGGGUGGGGGAGGGGUGGGGAUUCUGGUGUAAGCUUUUGGCUUGCAUUCGCUUUCUCCCUCCGAAAGUGGGCGACAUCAAGCAAGUCCCAGUUACAGAAAGAACCCACUGCAGGGCGUCCAGUCACUUGCCCAGUGAAAAGACUGUAAUCAGACAACUUUAAUAAAGGGAGAGCAGGAGAGUGGUGACGAAUUUCCACAUUCCGAACAAGCUUGUCGAAAGAGGAGUGCAGGGAAGGAGCAAGAAUGAGGCACUGGAAGACGGCUGUAGGCGCAUGAUGUCACAAGUUAUUGGAAGAAAUCCCUCCAACCUAGGUUGGGACAGAUGAAGGCGGCGCUUAUUGGUGUUCACCAAAACACCAGCAUGGUGUACCAGCUUUGGCUAGAUGAUGCUCAGGAAAACACAGAUCCUGGUGCCGAACAUGAGGACAGGGCAGGCCGAAGGAGAAAGUGGAAGGAGGGGAGCUUCUCUCUCAGCCUCAUCCUUCUGGGCCUGGAUGCUGGAGAGUCAUGAGGUGCUUCAGAGUACUCUGGGUGAGGAGGGAAAGAUGGUGCCCACCACAUGGAGGCCAGCCUAGGUCUUGUAUGAAACCUGUGAGCUAGCUGAAAGCAGAGAACCCAGCAGAGGAUUCUGGGAAGGUCCUGGGGGAUGGCAGAGCCAGCAGAGAGAGGGUAUGGAUCCACCAGGCAUAGGAUGGAACAGAGCACUAUUGACCACAGUGAACUGGGGCAUGGGCAAUCAAUAAACACAUAUUAGAUUAAGCUAUUGAGACUCAGGGAUUUUUAUACAACUGACAUUCCCUAAGAAGCCAUGAUCUUCCUGUCUCAGGAGGUGCAUAAGCAGUGGUUGAAUGUUCAACAGUCAAGAAUGUUAUAAAAAGAGGUUCUUGGGAGAGUGGACCUGAUGGCCAGCAAAAAUCAUAGCUCACAUUUAUUGAGUUAUUAUGGCUCAGGCAUGUGCACAUAUUCUUUUAUUUAAAUCUACAAUAUGCUUUAUCAUGCUCAUUUUAUACAUGAGGAACACAAGGCAUGGAGAGGUUAGAUAACAUGCCUAAGAUCAUGAAGCAAGCAAGGGGGAGAAAAGAUACCCUUCUCACUCCUUCCAGACAGCUCACUUCACCACCACUCCCCACUGUCUCUAAAGCAAAAGUUAUUUGAAGGCUUAGGGACUGGUUUGGUAUUAUCCAUGCAGGGCGGUUUGUUUUGUUUUUCUUUUAAAAUUUCAGCCUAUGCUUAAAAGAUUUCAUGUAAAAAUUCUGUUUUCUAGUUUCUCUUGAAAAUUAAGAAGAUCUGGUAAAACUGGGCUUGAAGACCAUUAUGGUAACAGGCUGCUGAAGCUGAGGAGAGGGCCCCUUCAGAUGGGCAUAAGCACUGCUCCCCCUCCCCAACCCCCCUUUUAGGUUACUAUCAGACUCUGGAAGCUUCUGAAUGUGUGAACCCUGAAAGAGUCCAUCUAAAGCUAAGUUCUCCCCAGGGGUAGAGCCCAAUGCUGGGCAUACAGUAGGG